UCACUUACCUGGAUGGGGUCAAUGGGUGAUCAAAAAGGUCCAUGGCCUAGGUUGGUGACCUCCAUUGCACUUAGGAGGGGUACCCACCUAAGGUCGGCCCAAGUGGUCGAGCCUACAUCAUAAUUUGUGGUAGUGGGGGCUUGCGUUCGCGCAGCCCCUGC
rfam:Helianthus annuus linkage group 8, whole genome shotgun sequence.